rnacentral:rRNA from 1 species
GGUUUGUGAGAUCCUGGCUCAGGAUGAACGCUGGCGGCGUGCCUAAUACAUGCAAGUCGAGCGAACUGAUUAGAAGCUUGCUUCUAUGACGUUAGCGGCGGACGGGUGAGUAACACGUGGGCAACCUGCCUGUAAGACUGGGAUAACUUCGGGAAACCGAAGCUAAUACCGGAUAGGAUCUUCUCCUUCAUGGGAGAUGAUUGAAAGAUGGUUUCGGCUAUCACUUACAGAUGGGCCCGCGGUGCAUUAGCUAGUUGGUGAGGUAACGGCUCACCAAGGCAACGAUGCAUAGCCGACCUGAGAGGGUGAUCGGCCACACUGGGACUGAGACACGGCCCAGACUCCUACGGGAGGCAGCAGUAGGGAAUCUUCCGCAAUGGACGAAAGUCUGACGGAGCAACGCCGCGUGAGUGAUGAAGGCUUUCGGGUCGUAAAACUCUGUUGUUAGGGAAGAACAAGUACAAGAGUAACUGCUUGUACCUUGACGGUACCUAACCAGAAAGCCACGGCUAACUACGUGCCAGCAGCCGCGGUAAUACGUAGGUGGCAAGCGUUAUCCGGAAUUAUUGGGCGUAAAGCGCGCGCAGGCGGUUUCUUAAGUCUGAUGUGAAAGCCCACGGCUCAACCGUGGAGGG